rnacentral:rRNA from 1 species
GAGGACGACGCUGGCGGCGUGGAUUAGGCAUGCAAGUCGAACGGUAUCAUCCUUCGGGGGUGAGAGAGUGGCGAACUGGUGAGUAACACGUAGGUUAUCUACCCUCAAGACGGGGACAACCCAGGGAAACUUGGGCUAAUACCGGAUGUGAGCAACUUUUAGUGUUUGAAAGGUGGCGUAAGCUGUCGCUUGGGGAUGAGCCUGCGUCCUAUUAGUUAGUUGGUGAGGUAACGGCUCACCUAGGCAAUGAUAGGUAGGCGGCCUUAACGGGUGGUCGCCCACACUGGGAUUGAGAUACGGCCCAGACUCCUACGGGAGGCAGCAGUCGAGAAUAGUCUACAAUGGUCGGAAGACUGAUAGUGCGACGCCGCGUGAACGAUGAAUCCCUUCGGGGUGUAAAGUUCUUUUAUAUGUGAGCAGUGCUUCUUAUAUUAACAGUAUGGGGAGAGAGAUAUUAGCAUAUGAAUAAGCAACGGCUAACUCCGUG